AUUUUCGCACUCGCACUUGCAGUCUGGCACUAGGUGGCUCGAGAAGAACUUUCAAAUUUUAGUUUCAAUAUCUGUUACUAGAUGUCGUUCAACUUGUUGAUGAUGGAAAGUAAACAAACGACUUUUAAACGCCCGCAGCUACCGAGAGCUUUUUAAAAAAACAUUUCCUAUUUAUAUAUCUCUGACGUGCUAUUGCGUCCUUGAACUGAUUCCCGAAUACCAAGUUUGGUUCACCCUUCUUGUGACCGUAGAGCGUAAAAACGUAGUAACCCUCCCUCCAGCCUUUGUUUGUAUCCCACCAAAAAUGAACUGUGAUACAUAACGGACGAGGCGUUCAUAUCAGAUUCUUCUUGCAUCAACUUAAGAAUCAUGACGGAAAAGGCACUCGUUAGCAAAAGGGUGAAGUGCAGUAUGAAGAAGACCUGAAGUCUCCCUGGAGUUCACUUAUGGAGAUUUAAUCCAUGAUGUUAAUUGUCUGGCUGCGGGUCUCCAAACUUCAGGACUUGUCAAGCGUGGUCAUUGUGUUGCCAUGGCACAACCUAAUUCUAUUGAAUUUGUAGUUACACUGCUAGCUGUAAACCGAGUUGGGGCAUUCAUUUCACUGAUUAACCCUGUCUAUACUCCCCGAGAGCUCAAGCAUGUUUCUAGCAUAAACAAUGCUGGUUUGUGGAUUUGCACACUGGAAUUCAUUUCAUUACUUUCCCAACUUGACAAAACAGAGUACAAAACUCCCCUCGUCGAUAGUUCAAAUAAAGUGCGUUCGCAGUGGCAUUCAGUUCUCAAGUCUGGUGAGUCCAGGACGUUCCCAUCAGUCUCCGUUAAUGUCUUUGAAGACCUUGCCACUAUGCCAUUUCCAGCGAGACGAAGGGUUUGCCUAAGAGAGUCAUGCUCACCCAUCACAACCUCGUGACUGCAUUGUGCAAAUUAUAGGUGUCAGCCAUGUAAACUUCCUGGCACUGUGUUUUGUAUUCACUGUUAAAGGAAAUGCAUAGCAGUGAGAAUGAUAUGCAGCCCAGUUUUCACCUAUAUGUUCCAAUCUCCUCAAAGUUGUCGACGGGACUCAUUUUCCUCACCUUCCGAAUGGGAUAUGACGGUUUUAUUGAUAGCAAAGAUCCGAGUGAUUCGAACUGGACUGCUAGCUGUUAUUAAGAAACUUUAAAUGCAGUUGAGCAACUGUUCCAGAAUAAGAAUGUAUUCUGUGUAUCAUUUAAAUGCAAAUAGUGUAUUUCAAUACAUUUCCAACAACCUAUU